GAACGCUGGCGGCGUGCUAACACAUGCAAGUCGUGCGAGAAAGGUCCUUCGGGGACUGAGUAGAGCGGCGCACGGGUGAGUAACGCGUGGGUGACCGUACCCACGGGAGACCGGGAGUAACAGUGGGAAACUGCUGCUAAUACCGGGUACGCUUCAUAUUUCACGUAUGGGGGAAAGGCGGCCUCUGCUUGCAAGCUGCCACUCUUGGAUGGGCCCGCGUCUCAUUAGCUUGUUGGUAGGGUAACGGCCUACCAAGGCGACGAUGAGUAGCUGGUCUGAGAGGAUGAUCAGCCACACUGGGACUGGAACACGGCCCAGACUCCUACGGGAGGCAGCAGUGGGGAAUAUUGCGCAAUGGGCGAAAGCCUGACGCAGCGACGCCGCGUGAGGGAAGAAAGGCCUUCGGGUCGUAAACCUCUGUCAGGAGGGAAGAAACCAUGAGAGUCGAAUAGGCUCUCGUGCUGACGGUACCUCCGGAGGAAGCACCGGCUAACUCCGUGCCAGCAGCCGC
rnacentral:rRNA from 1 species